AUCGUUCCGGCCUUUUGGCUAAGAUCAAAGUGUAGUACUGUUUUAUUCAGUUAAUACUGAUAACGUCCUCCUUGGGGGAAUCGAUAAAUUAAACUGUUUUUGGAAAGGGGUGGAGGGCCCGGGGCUUGGCUCCGCCCCCACCACGGGGACCCGGUUUGCAGUACUUCCGGGAAUGGCCCACCACUA